CGUGUAGGCGGCUUGGUAAGUCGGGUGUGAAAGCCCGGGGCUCAACCCCGGAACUGCACUCGAUACUGCCUCGCUAGAGUCCCGGAGAGGAGAGCGGAAUUCCCGGUGUAGAGGUGAAAUUCGUAGAUAUCGGGAGGAACACCAGCGGCGAAGGCGGCUCUCUGGACGGUGACUGACGCUGAGACGCGAAAGCGUGGGGAGCAAACAGGAUUAGAUACCCUGGUAGUCC
rnacentral:rRNA from 1 species